UACGGAGGGUGCAAGCGUUAUCCGGAUUCACUGGGUUUAAAGGGUGCGUAGGUGGGUCUGUAAGUCAGUGGUGAAAUCUCCGGGCUUAACUCGGAAACUGCCAUUGAUACUAUAGGUCUUGAGUUAUCUGGAGGUGAGCGGAAUAUGUCAUGUAGCGGUGAAAUGCUUAGAUAUGACAUAGAACACCAAUUGCGAAGGCAGCUCACUACGGAUAUAUUGACACUGAGGCACGAAAGCGUGGGGAUCAAACAGG
rnacentral:rRNA from 1 species